CGGGACGGGUGAGUAAUGUCUGGGAAACUGCCUGAUGAGGGGGAUAACUACUGGAAACGGUAGCUAAUACCGCAUAACGUCGCAAGACCAAAGAGGGGGACCGUUCGGGCCUCUUGCCAUCGGAUGUGCCCAGAUGGGAUUAGCUAGUAGGUGGGGUAACGGCUCACCUAGGCGACGAUCCCUAGCUGGUCUGAGAGGAUGCCAGCCACACUGGAACUGAGACACGGUCCAG
rnacentral:rRNA from 1 species